rnacentral:tRNA from 1 species
GCGGGUGUAGCUCAAUUGGAUAGAGCACCUGACUACGGAUCAGGAGGUUACAGGUUCGACUCCUGUCACCCGUG